rnacentral:tRNA from 1 species
GGAUUGUGGCUCAAUGGUAGAGUGCUCGCCUACUAUGCAUGAGGCACUAGGUUUGAUCCUCAGCACCA